UGCAGUAGCAACUGGAUUUGCAGCAGAAACAUUCUGCUACAGAACAAGUGUCUUGGUUCACAGCAAAGAGGACAAAGAAAACAGCAAGUUUUAGGGGGUUGAAUCCUGGAUUUUCUUCCAAGAAUGGUGCGUACCUGAAUAUUCUAGAUACCAAGGAGAGAACUUAUAACAUGCAACGGAUGCCCUAGAGUAUGAGGACUUAAUUCUCUGAGGAACUCCAGCCUACCCUCUGAGUCUUUUUCCUGUGUGCUACUCCUAACCUGCAUCCUCCUACAUCCCACCACCUCUGGGUUAUAUCCACCAUGUGGAGGCUGAUGGACCCCAACCAAAAUUCAGUUUGGAUGUCAAGACUGAUAAUGCUAUACUCCAACACCAAGGAACACCUUCUUCCACUGACAGCUUUGAGGCUGUAUCUUUCCAGCUUUAGCAUCAGAAAGGAAAGGAGUCUAUGUCUCAGCUCCAAAUGGAAAAAUCCUAAAAAAGAACACUGAUUGGUGAUGUUAGGACAGAAGCCCAACAGCCAUCAAAUCACUGCAACAAGAAAAUGAAGAUGCCACUGUUGCUGGAGAAAUGUCACUGCUAGAGAAUAGAAGACUAUUAUUCCAAAGGGUAUUUGAGACUGACUGAAUCAGGUCUGGAAUAUUAUUGAAAUGAAGAAUAAUGACAUAAUGACAUCUGGACCACCAACUGUCCUGCAGAGUCACAGAGAGACGGCCAGUGUAAACCCUCAAGCAACUACAUGUGAAAUCUAGAUGUCUCUUCAUCAUUCAUGUUCUGCUGAUACCAUUCAUAUCCUGCCCCAGACUGGGAUGACAUUUUCACUUUCUUCAAUCAAGCUUUAUUCAUGAUUACUGUGAAAUUUUUAGUCUCUGCAUCUGCAAUUGCUCAAAGAUGAUACUAGACCCACAAAGGAAGAGAUACUGAGAUCAUUUGGGAACCAAGAUCUGCUUUAUAGGGACUAAAGAAGUUCGCAGCUACUGGAACUGGACGCAAAUUAGAAAGAGCCCAUGAGACAUAGAAUCCCUACUGUGCUCUUUGUGAACUUUUACUCAUGAAUGGCUUACUGUAGUUCAUUCAUAUUGUUUUAUGAAGUAAGUUAUUUCUAGUAACAACCUGCAUAACCUUUUGAUUUUUUUUUCUUUUUAUUUGACAAAGUGAGAAAAGGAUAGCACUGAAAAUUGGAGGGUUGGCUGUUGCUAGGCACCAAACUGACAUUCAGGAAGUGGAAAUGAUACCCAAGAAGAUUUAAAAAAUAAACAAGUGUUUUAAUCUUUAACUGCAACUCCAAUGAUUCAAAUUAAGUUAUCUGAUUACUAGUAUUUCCCAAACAGACUUUUAACAAGAGAAAUGGGAUGCUAUUUUUGAACUAUCAGUACUCUGUUGUAUUUGUUAGUACAGUUAUUUUUGCUCCUAGUAUGUUUGUCAGAGUCACUGAAAUUUAUAAUUUUUAGGUUUAGUGGUUAGAGGAGUAGACAGUAGUUUGCAAGACAAAGUCAAAUUUAUGUCAUUUAAAUUUCUAUAGAGUUAGCUUGAAUAUUUCCCUAAAGAGACCUUUGAAAUAUAGGUAAAAUUGAAUAAACAAUUGACUCAUUCCAUGAUCAUUGGUGUUUUUGUCUACCUCCAUAAAGAGCUUCAUACCUUUGACCUCUGAAAUAAUUGAUUGAGAUCCUGAGAGAUAUCACCAAUUGCAUUUCCUUUCCUCCAAAACAUUCUCUUUGCAUUCAUGGCUGUUCUGAAAGAAAGGCAUGGCCUCUCUCCUAAGCUCUGUGGAGCCUUAGUAAUCUCUGUGAUAGAUGAUGCCAGCUUUGCGUACUGAUGUAUUUAUGGUCAUAAUACCAAUAAUAAAUGACGUAGGCCUAACUCUACCAAGAGGAGCAAAAACUGGACACUGUAGCUUUGCAGAAUUAGCAACACAGGCCCAGUACACAUGGCAGCACUGUGUAGUGGUUGGAAGUGCAGCCUUCAAAGUCAACUGCUUGGAUUGGAAUCUUGUUCUUUUGUUUAUAAGCUGUGUGACCUUAGGUAAGUCACUUAUCUUCUCUGUGCCUAUGUCUUCACCUUUAAGAGGGGAGAGUAACAAUAGCUAGCUUAUUGUUAUUAAGAUGCUUAAAUUAGAUGAUAUCUUUAAGGCUCUUAGAAAAAUGCCUGACAUGAUAAUUAAUAAAUGAUUUGAUAAAUCAAGUAACAUACAGA